GUUGAUAUGGCCGAGUCGGUCUAAGGCGUCAGGUUCUGGUCCGAAAGGGCGUGGGUUCAAACCCACUGUCAUCA
rnacentral:tRNA from 1 species